AUUGAACGCUGGCGGAAUGCUUUACACAUGCAAGUCGAACGGUAGAGGGGCAACCCUUGAGAGUGGCGAACGGGUGAGUAAUGUAUCGGAACAUGCCCAGUCGUGGGGGAUAACGUAGCGAAAGUUACGCUAAUACCGCAUACGAUCUAUGGAUGAAAGCGGGGGGUCGCAGGACCUCGCGCGAUUGGAGUGGCUGAUAUCAGAUUAGGUAGUUGGUGGGGUAAAGGCCUACCAAGCCGACGAUCUGUAGCUGGUCUGAGAGGACGACCAGCCACACUGGGACUGAGACACGGCCCAGAAUCCUACGGGAGGCAGCAGUGGGGAAUUUUGGACAAUGGGCGAAAGCCUGAUCCAGCCAUUCCGCGUGCAGGAAGAAGGCCUUCGGGUUGUAAACUGCUUUUGUACGGAACGAAACGCGCUGUGCUAAUACCACGGCGUAAUGACGGUACCGUAAGAAUAAGCACCGGCUAACUACGUGCCAGCCGCCGCCGUAA
rnacentral:rRNA from 1 species